GGAUGCGAUCAUACUAGCACUAAUGCACCAGAUCCCAUAAAAACUUCGCAGCUAAGCAUUCUUGGGGGAGAGUAGUACUAGGAUGGGUGACCUCCUAGAAAGUCCUCGUGUUGCAUCCC
rfam:Arabidopsis thaliana chromosome 5, complete sequence.